ensembl:lncRNA
UAGAAUUUAUAGAAAAUCCAAAAUGAGCUGCGGAGGUUUGUGCAGGUUAAAGCGAACGGCUCCUCCUUAUGGAGAUACUCUGAAAAUACUUUGUGAACAAGUUGAUCUUCACAUCCCAAAAGUUAAACAUGUGCUCAUCAGCUGAUCAGGUUACUUCAUAAAAGGCCCAAAUAUCAAAGUAAGAAACCUAAAGCUCCAUUCAGGUGGGAUUCAUGUCUCAGUGGUGCUUUGGUGUGGCCUCGGGAGGCUUUCUUCUUCUUCUUUGCUCUGAAGAUGAACCUUCUGCUCCUUCCUAACAUUUAAGGUUUGGUUCUCGCUUCAUUUUUUCUCUUUUCAAAAGCAGAACACAGCCAAAGAAAAACCAGGUUCAAGUUUUCACUGGAGUUUAAAUUCUCGUGAUUGAUCUAAGUUUUGGUUGGAGGAAGUCCUCGCUGGGCCUCUGUGCUUCUGUCCUAUGCAAACAUCUUAACUGAACUUCCAGGUCUAAACACCACCUACACAUUUCAGCUGAACCUCCCAGACUCACCACCAGGUGGCCCUGCUGUCAGUGAAGGCGUCUCAUAGAGAUGCACUGAUUGUGGAAAUCAAGUUAAACUAUUGUUUUUAAAACAACAGCUUUUGGGAAUCAUAUAUUACAGUUUUUCACUCUCUGAAUGAGAAAGAAUUCACUUGUACAAAUUGAGGAUCGACGGGACACAAAGUGACCGUCGAUCAUCAGCUCUCGUCUGUAAAAACCAAACCACAAACAGGAACUGAGAGAUUUAAUUCAAUCUUCCCUCAGUGUGGCGACACCAGAUUAGAGAACAAGAGUUUAUUAUUUUUAUUUCCCCGAGGCUUUAACCGCUCCUUUAUUCCUGUAACGCUGCAGGAAGAAAAAGUAUCUUUAGAUGUGUCAAAUCAGCUUUUGUGGAUUGUGUUUCCACGUCUGGAACAUCAGGCAGGUUAGAGUCGCAGCAUGUGACUCUUCUCAUUUUUCAUGUGUCUUUCACACUGUUGUCCACAUGUCUGCUCGUUCUAUAUGAAUCAUAAAGAAGCUGCUGUUUUUGUCAGAAUUACCUGAAAGUAAAUGUGUGUUUGAAGACAAAUCCGCAGAGACGUUCAGCCCAUCACUAGAUGUCCAAAAGUAUCAUCCUCGCUGACCUGUUCCUUGUUUUCUGGCCACGUCUAUUCUAUUAAAGCAUAAUCUCAUUGAGCCUAUUUUCAUCCUCCACGCUCCACCUGCAGUGACGCCAUUAAUGAGGCCCAGCGCUCGUCACAGUUUGAAAACCACUGAAUGAAAGCAUUAUCACAUAAAGCUCUUUAUGCAGCUGCUGAAUAAGCUCACAGAAGCAGGGUCCCAGGUUUCUGAUGAAGAUGAUUUUGGACAUUUUUAAAUGUUUUCAUUGUUCACACAGAGUGUUUGGUUUCACUGAAGAUGGACGUCUUAGUUGUGAAUUACAAGCAGCUAUUGUCACCUAUACAUGCAGAUCUUAGUUUUAGUUCACGAGGAGCUCGUUCAGAGCUGCUCACCACACACUGCAGAAAGGGUUUUACAACUCUAAGUUGGCCUCCAGGCUUGUGGUUUCUACGUUCAGUCAGUGUCUGCUCUUCCUGCUGCAGAGGAAACUUUUCCCUCUUUCAGCAUGAAACAGUGAAACAGAUCCAGAUGUUAGAGCUCACUCUUCAGCAUCUGGCAGGCAGACUGAAGCCAGAGGAGCAUGUUAAUGCAAAUGCUGCCACUGUCACAUAUGGACAGGCUCUAUAAGGGAGGCUUCACGUGUAUGUGUUUCUUCAGUGCUUGAUGUUCAGAGGUGGGUUUUGCUUUGUUGUUGUUGUUUUUUGCUGGCGUCGUUAUAGUAACAAACCUAGUCAUGCAGCUAGCUAACAGAGCUAACUAACAAGGUUAGCUGUGGCAAAGUUUGUGCAGCUCGGCACCAAAACAAGAAGUUCAAGAUCAUUUCUGGGCCACACACUCGAGGUGUUUUCAUAACCUUUGUACAGCUUUGAGCUUCAUCAGAGGUUCAGUCUUUUCUUGGGUAGUAGUACUGAAUUAUUUGUAAAAACAUGUGAUUGGCUGAAGAUUUGUUUAAAAAUUAGGACUUUUAUUCAGAGGCGCUGCUGCCUGAAAUCCUCUCUGAUGUCACAGUUUUCAGCAGGUUCGUCUUCACUGUUUGACGGGACGUCCACCAGCAGUUUAGAGUUUCCUGUGUUUUCUAACAGGAGAUGUACACUGGUGUGUACAGUGUUUUGGUGUGUGUGUUUGUGUACUUUUAUUUUGCAUGUUGAUUUUUCAGGGACUUCUUGAGAAAAACAGCAGUUUCUUUUCAUGAUUCAUCAAACCAGAGGUCUCAAACAUCCAUCUGAUUUUUACAGGAACAAACUGGGUCAUUUCUGCUCACAGUCCUCUGAUUCGAUGCUUUUGUAGAAAUGUAGAAAUGUGCAGAUGUUUUUCAUUGUGCUCUGGAGCAGCUGGUUAGUUUAGCAUUAACAAAGGAAAUGACUCUGAACUCUAAAUCUCACUGACGCUGUAUCGCGUUUGUUAAAUCCGUGUGAAAUGUAAAACAGGACACCUGCGAGUGGCACCGAUCUCUGCUCCAUCACAAACAUGGAAGGCAGUUUCCGCCAACACAGAUGUUUCUCCACCUCUGCAUGUUACUUCUGUAAUGAAUCAUCAGGCCUUAAACUGUGCAUAAAAUGUUUUACACUUAGGUUCUGCUUCAACUCUUUUAUCUCGACUGUGUUUAAUUUGAACUGGAGUCUUUGUAUUUUCACUUUUUUGGCCUUUUUGUUUUCUGGUUUAGCAAAAAAAAGUCUGUUUCAGAAUCACGGUCCUUCUGUUUUUGCCGUUCAGAUGAAUCUUUAGCACUUUGAGGAAAACGGGGAAUGUUAGCAUAGCAUGCCCAUAGCCGAAUCAUCAUCAUCAUCAUCAGUCAGAGAGGAAGCAGGUCGGCAGCACGAAUCAGGAGGAGAGUUUGCUCAGAUCAGACGACACUGCUGUAACAGACUUGAAGUUUUUCUUUGUGACUGCUGUACUAAUGACAUGAAUUGUAAUCCACCUGUAUAAUAGUAUAUAUUGUAGUAUAUUUGGAUCUGUACAGAAACACAGAUGUUCAGUUCCUGCAGUAAUGAUUUCUUUUGUUAACUUCUCUCUGGUUUGCUAAUAAAAUAUUGAUGAUACACGGCUUCGACAUCGCUGUUUGCAUGUGUGAUAAAUUUCCAACCCCGACAAUAAAAUCACUUCCUUCA